CGGGAAGUGGAAAGUGGCAAACGGGGUAGUAAGGCGUAGGUGACGUACCCUCAAGUCCGGGAUAGCCACGGGAAACCGUGAUUAAUACCGGAUAAUCUCUCAGAGUAUGGUGCUUUGAGAGCAAAGGUGUGAUUCCGCUGGAGGAGCGGCUUACGUGAUAUUAGGUAGUUGGUGAGGUAACGGCUCACCAAGCCUCAGAUGUCUAGGGGGUGUGAGAGCAUGGCCCCCACCACUGGGACUGAGACACUGCCCAGACACCUACGGGUGGCUGCAGUCGAGAAUCUUCGGCAAUGGACGCAAGUCUGACCGAGCGACGCCGCGUGCGGGAUGAAGGCCCUUGGGUUGUAAACCGCUGUCAGAGGGGAUGAAAUGCGAGAGGGCUAUCCCUCUCGUUUGACAGAGCCUCAGAGGAAGCACGGGCUAAGUACGUGCCAGCAGCCGCGGUAACACGUACUGUGCGAACGUUAUUCGGAAUCACUGGGCUUAAAGGGUGCGUAGGCGGUUUAGUAAGUAGGGUGUGAAAUGCCAGAGCUCAACUUUGGCACGGCGCUCUAAACUGCUAAACUUGAGUGAGAUAGGGGUGUACGGAACUUCCGGUG
rnacentral:rRNA from 1 species